GACGAACGCUGGCGGCGUGCUUAACACAUGCAAGUCGAACGAAAAGAGGGAAAGAGCUUGCUCUUUCCGGAAUUGAGUGGCAAACGGGUGAGUAACACGUAAACAACCUGCCUUCAGGAUGGGGACAACAGACGGAAACGACUGCUAAUACCGAAUAAGUUCCAAGGGCCGCAUGGCCCAUGGAAGAAAAGGUGGCCUCUACCUGUAAGCUAUCGCCUGAAGAGGGGUUUGCGUCUGAUUAGCUGGUUGGAGGGGUAACGGCCCACCAAGGCGACGAUAAGUAGCCGGUCUGAGAGGAUGAACGGCCACACUGGAACUGAGACACGGUCCAGACGCCUACGGGAGGCAGCAGUGGGGAAUCUUCCGCAAUGGGCGAAAGCCUGACGGAGCAACGCCGCGUGAGUGAUGACGGCCUUCGGGUUGUAAAGCUCUGUGAUCCGGGACGAAAAGGCAGAGUGCGAAGAACAAACUGCAUUGACGGUACCGGAAAAGCAAGCCACGGCUAACUACGUG
rnacentral:rRNA from 1 species